rnacentral:rRNA from 1 species
CCCUUAGAUGUUCUGGGCCGUACGCGCGCUACACUGAAGGGAUCAGCGUGUUUUCCCUUCCCGAGAGGGACGGGUAACCCGCUGAACCCCCUUCGUGGUAGGGAUCGGAGCUUGCAAUUGUUCUCCGUGAACCAGGAAUUCCCAGUAAGCGCAAGUCAUAAGCUUGCGUUGAUUACGUCCCUGCCCUUUGUACACACCGCCCGUCGCUACUACCGAUUGAACGUUUUAGUGAGGUAUUUGGACUGGGCCUUGGGAGGUUUCGGCCUCCCUUGUUGCUCGGAAAGACUCCCAAACUUGAGCGUUUAGAGGAAGUAAAAGUCGUAACA